UGAAUAACGCAAUAAUAUAGUAAUAUAUAUAUUAGUUGCGUUUCAGAUAUAAAUAUAUAAUUUUUUGUGAAGAAUUUUACUCAGUUUUUAUUUUACACUUUGAAGAUAAUAGACCAUUGUUUUUCAAUCGAGAGGAAAUAUUUUCAUCAUCUGACAUUAAUUAUAUUAUUGUUACGCUAUAGGCUAAAAAUGUUUACUGUAAAAUCAAUUGGAUUAUUAAUGUUUUUUGGAAUAAUAAUUAUUUUAAUUGAUUUUGCAAUGGCAUGCUCUUCACUUGGAGGUUCAUGUGUAGCUGGCGAUGAUAGAUUUCCCUGUUGUCCAGGCUUAUAUUGUUAUCAAGGAGCAGGAUGGCCACGUGGUUCUUGUAGAUUAAGAUAAAUAUUAUGCCUUAGAUAUUUAUUAAAUAUAUUAAAAAUAAUAUAUGUAACAAUAUAUCAAAUUAAUAAUAAAAAUUAUAUAUAAUUAUAUAAAUUGAAUUAAAAAUAUAUUUUUUGUUUCAGAGUCAAAUAACUUUUUAUUUGUUUUAAAUAAAAAAUUUUAUUUGACUCUGAGGCAAAUAUAUAUAUAUAUAUAUUUUCUCUAUAUAAUUAGUUUAAAAAUAAAAUUUAUUUCCUUAUAUUUUUAAUCGAAUUAAAAAAAAAAAAUUCAUUUCCAAUGAGGAAAUGUUUCUCACUGUAAAAAAUAGUAAAAAAUUUCAAUGUAAUAGAAUAAAAAUUUGAAUGAGAAAAAAAUACUCUUAUUUUACUUUUUCAAUUUUUUUUGAAAAAAUAAAUCAAACAAAUAAGGAAAAUUGUAUCAGUUAAUCAUUAUUGAAAUAUUUUAUACAAACAAAUGUGAAUAACGCAAUAGUAAUAAUGAUAUAUUAGUUGCGUUUCAGAUACUUAUUUGUGAAGAAUUUUACUCAUUCUAAUUUUACACUUUGAAGAUAAUAGACCAUUAUUGUUUUAAUCGAGAGGAAAUAUUUUCAUCAUCUGACAUUAAUUAUUAUUGUUAACGCUGAUUUUUUCCAAAAUGACUGCUUUUAAUUUAAGUGAAUUAUUAAUAAUUGGGACAAUAAUAAUUAUUAGUUUGUUGAUUGAUUCUUCUGACACGAUAUGCCUUAAAAUUGCAAGUCAAUGCAAAAUUGGAGAAGUUGAUCGCAAUUGUUGUCCUAAAUCUUAUUGUUAUCAAGAAGUUGGAUGGCCACAUGGCUACUGUCGACCACCAGAAACAUCUUAAAAUCAUCUUAAGAAAAAUAAUAUACUUUAAUUAAUCUAAAAUUAUAACUGCAAAUAAAAAUUCUAAUUUUUUACAAAUAAAUUGUAUCGAAUAAAGAGAAAUUCUACUGUAAAAAUGAAAAUUUUGUAUUAAAUAAAAAUUUGAUGACAUAAAAAUUCUGUUGAAUAUAAAUAUUCAAUUGAGAAGGAAAUAAGAUUAAAAGAAUAAAUUUCUAUCUACAUUGAAA